rnacentral:rRNA from 1 species
CCUACGGGAGGCAGCAGUGAGGAAUCUUGGUCAAUGGGCGCGAGCCUGAACCAGCCAAGUCGCGUGAGGGAAGACGGUCCUAUGGAUUGUAAACCUCUUUUGUCGGGGAGCAAAAGACGCCACGCGUGGCGUUCCGAGAGUACCCGAAUAAAAAGCAUCGGCUAACUCCGUGCCAGCAGCAGCGGUAAUACGGAGGAUGCGAUCGUUAUCCGGAUUUAUUGGGUUUAAAGGGUGCGCAGGCGGAAGAUCAAGUCAGCGGUAAAAGUGAGAGGCUCAACCUCUUCGAGCCGUUGAAACUGGUUUUCUUGAGUGAGUGAGAAGUAUGCGGAAUGCGUGGUGUAGCGGUGAAAUGCAUAGAUAUCACGCAGAACUCCGAUUGCGAAGGCAGCAUACCGGCGCUCAACUGACGCUCAUGCACGAAAGUGUGGGUAUCGAACAGGAUUAGAUACCCGAGUAGUC